AGGAUUCCCCUAGUAACUGCGAGUGAAGCGGGAAAAGCUCAAAUUUAAAAUCUGGUGGUCUUCGGCCAUCCGAGUUGUAAUCUAGAGAAGUGUUACCCGCGUCGGACCGUGUACAAGUCUCCUGGAAUGGAGCGUCAUAGAGGGUGAGAAUCCCGUCUUUGACACGGACUACCGAGGCUUUGUGGUGCGCUCUCAAAGAGUCGAGUUGUUUGGGAAUGCAGCUCAAAAUGGGUGGUAAAUUCCAUCUAAAGCUAAAUAUUGGCGAGAGACCGAUAGCGAACAAGUACCGUGAGGGAAAGAUGAAAAGAACUUUGGAAAGAGAGUUAAACAGUACGUGAAAUUGCUAAAAGGGAAACGCUUGAAGUCAGUCGCGUUGGCCGGAAAUCAGCCUUGCUUUUGUGAGGUGUACUUUCUGGUUGACGGGCCAGCAUCAGUUUUGACCGGUGGAAAAAGUCUAGGGGAAUGUGGCAUCUUCGGAUGUGUUAUAGCCCUUGGUCGUAUACAUCGGUUGGGACUGAGGAACUCAGCACGCCGCAAGGCCGGGUCUCUGACCACGUUCGUGCUUAGGAUGCUGGCAUAAUGGCUUUAAUCGACCCGUCUUGAAACACGGACCAAGGAGUCUAACAUGCCUGCGAGUGUUUGGGUGGAAAACCCGGACGCGUAAUGAAAGUGAAAGUUGAGAUCCUUGUCAUGGGGAGCAUCGACGCCCGGACCAGAAGUUUUCUGACGGCCCUGCGGUAGAGCAUGUAUGUUGGGACCCGAAAGAUGGUGAACUAUGCCUGAAUAGGGUGAAGCCAGAGGAAACUCUGGUGGAGGCUCGUAGCGAUUCUGACGUGCAAAUCGAUCGUCAAAUUUGGGUAUAGGGGCGAAAGACUAAUCGAACCAUCUAGUAGCUGGU
rnacentral:rRNA from 1 species